rnacentral:lncRNA from 1 species
AAACACUUAACAAACUCUUAAAAAUUACAAAGAAGCUUUGAAAAAAGAAAUACAUCAUAUCUGCAAAUCUAAACCAAUCCCUGAUUGUAUUUACAAGAAAUAAGACAUUAUCACAUUAGGGAGACUUCAAUUGGCAAGAUGUAUAAUAUAGAAGGCAUUUUUGCUACGGUCCCUAUAUGUUGCGAACUCGCUGUGGACAUCUGAUCUCACCGUCCACGUCCCUAAGCCAUUCACAACCAUCCAUCUCCCGCCCUGAAUUCCAGGAUGAAAGUUGACGUCCGACCGUUCUCAGAGUGUCGGUACCAUCGCGAGCACCGUCCAGGAACCCAACGCAAGUUCGCGGUUCCGAGAACUCAUCGCGAGUUCGCGACUUCGCGGUUCCAGGAACCAAUCGCGAGUUCACGCCCAGUCCCGUCGGCCUUACCUGUAGGGCCGGUAAAGGUAGACAGCAUUCCGUUGUGCCAAUGUCGUCCACAAUUGAGGGACGACUGAGGUACCGCAUUCCGUUUCUGAUGAGGAACGUCCUGGUAUAAUAUAUUGUAAGUUACAUUAUUAGUUUCAGGAUCGAUUAUUACAAAGAGAUAUGUAUUAUUAUGCACCAAGCAAAGAAGAUCGUAUAUUCAAAUGUGAUUCAGAUUUAAAAUUUCCAUGAAUUACCUUUCUAAUGUGUUGGUGUGAGGGUUCGCCGGAGCUAGCUCACCGUCCAACCUAGUACAAGUCUCUCUCUCAGAAUUAUCAACCCCCUCCCCAGUUGGACCAGGGGAGGUAUUUAUAGCCUUCACUUGUUGUCAUUGGGCCUCGUAGGCUCGCGCUGUCGGGCCCGUCCG